AAGAGUGCAGUGAUGAAGCAAAUUGUUUGUGGACUAGAGUUUCUGAUCUGGGUUCUUCUCCCAGAACUUGAUUACUAACCCUUGGCUGUCUGAGCACCUUU
rfam:Populus trichocarpa scaffold_7_contig_7, whole genome shotgun sequence.